UUGCAUGUUGGGUACUGACUAACUCGCAAAAUUCGCACUUACUUUUUGCCAUCCAACCAAACUGACUGACUAAAAGUCAUCAUAUCCUCCUCGUUAAAAGGAAGUAAUAAUUUGUUAUCCGUGAGAUGAUGACUUGCUCAAAAACAAGACAACAAAGUGCAGAGGUAAAAAUAACACGGAUCUGUAGUUUUAAAAUAAAACUGGGAACUCUGAACGAAAAUGCAUUGCACCCAAGAUGAAGUCUUCGUAUUUACAAAAAAAUUGUUACGGGUGGAAGUCGAAAAAGAAUAAAAAAAAUACUAUCAUAGAAUUCGGUAUAUUGUGAAGAUACAACGGUGGAAAAUAUUAUAUGUAGAUUAUGUAGAUUCAUUUAUGUAUAUAGCUGCUAAUAAAAAUACAUAUAAAAUC